rnacentral:rRNA from 1 species
GAUGAACGCUGGCGGCGUGCCUAAUACAUGCAAGUCGAGCGAACGGACGAGAAGCUUGCUUCUCUGAUGUUAGCGGCGGACGGGUGAGUAACACGUGGAUAACCUACCUAUAAGACUGGGAUAACUUCGGGAAACCGGAGCUAAUACCGGAUAAUAUUUUGAACGGCAUGGUUCAAAAGUGAAAGACGGUCUUGCUGUCACUUAUAGAUGGAUCCGCGCUGCAUUAGCUAGUUGGUAAGGUAACGGCUUACCAAGGCAACGAUGCAUAGCCGACCUGAGAGGGUGAUCGGCCACACUGGAACUGAGACACGGUCCAGACUCCUACGGGAGGCAGCAGUAGGGAAUCUUGCGCAAUGGGCGAAAGCCUGACGGAGCAACGCCGCGUGAGUGAUGAAGGUCUUCGGAUCGUAAAACUCUGUUAUUAGGGAAGAACAUAUGUGUAAGUAACUGUGCACAUCUUGACGGUACCUAAGCAGAAAGCCACGGCUAACUACGU